GACAGAGGUGCCGAGCGUUAGGCGGAAUCACUGGGCUUAAAGCGCGUGUAGGCGGGCGGGCAAGUACCUUGUGAAAUCCCACGGCUCAACCGUGGAACGGCUGGGUAUACUGCCUGUCUUGAGCCAACUAGGGGCGAGCGGAACAGACGGUGGAGCGGUGAAAUGCGUAGAUAUCGUCUGGAACGCCAAAGGUGAAAACAGCUCGCUGGGGUUGUGCUGACGCUGAGACACGAAAGCCAGGGGAGCGAACGGG
rnacentral:rRNA from 1 species